rnacentral:tRNA from 1 species
GGGCUGUUGGCGCAGUUGGUAGCGCGCUGCCAUCGCAAGGCAGAGGUCACCGGUUCGAUUCCGGUACGGUCCA